rnacentral:rRNA from 1 species
GAUGAACGCUGGCGGCGUGCCUAAUACAUGCAAGUCGAGCGAACUGAUUAGAAGCUUGCUUCUAUGACGUUAGCGGUGGACGGGUGAGUAACACGUGGGCAACCUGCCAGUAAGACUGGGAUAACUUCGGGAAACCGAAGCUAAUACCGGAUAGGAUCUUCUCCUUCAUGGGAGAUGAUUGAAAGAUGGUUUCUGCUAUCACUUACAGAUGGGCCCGCGGAACAUUAGCUAGUUGGUGAGGUAACGGCACACCAAGGCAACGAUGCAUAGCCGACAUGAGAGGGUGAUAGGACACACUGGGACUGAGACACGGCCCAGACUCCUACGGGAGGCAGCAGUAGGGAAUCUUCCGCAAUGGACGAAAGUCUGACGGAGCAACGCCGCGUGAGUGAUGAAGGCUUUCGGGUCGUAAAACUCUGUUGUUAGGGAAGAACAAGUACAAGAGUAACUGCUUGUACCUUGACGGUACCUAACCAGAAAGCCACGGCUAACUACGUGCCAGCCGCCGCGGUAA